rnacentral:lncRNA from 1 species
UUGUACAGGUUCUGCCUAUAGACAUGAGUUUGACUCGGAAGGAAAUGAGCUCCGGUCAAGAACGCUACGGGAGAAUGGUUAUAGAGACUACCACGCCAUUAGGAGGUGUUACUGUUUUGAUGAAAAGAAUACUGUCAGAGGCAGAAAGUCUAAUCUUUUUGAGCCCCAAGUGUGUGUUCAUUAAUUUAUUCAACUAAUAAUCUUCCAGAGUUUACUAUGUGGCAGGCUCCAUUCUAGGCAAUGGAGAAUGAGGUGCACAACACACCUCACCCCCUGGAGUAAACAGCUACUCUUCGCUGAACGCUCACACGCCUCCUCUCUCUCCUUUAAUUAGGAUUCAAAGCCAUGAUCUGAGGUCCUGCGUUGCCAUUUCCUAAGACUUAACAACUUCCCUGAGUCUCGGUACCCUCAUCCGCAACACAAAGAAUAAUCGCCAGACAGGGCCGUGGGGGAGGAAUAAAUGAGAUGCUUUGGAAAGAAUUUUGAAAAUGGCGGUUGGAGGCUGAGCAAGAAUCAACUUUCUGUGGGCAGGGCCUUUCCUCGGCAUCCUCGUCUUCAUUCAUCCAACCCCCAUUUCAGAUGAUGGCUGUGUACCAGAUGAGCCAGGUGUUGGGCGCUCAGUCACACAGAGAAUCAGACCAGCAAUUACCCUCGGAGAACCGGCAAUGCACUGCGGAGGGGAAGGCUGGACCUCAGGGAAGCUCCUAGAAGGCGGGAGGGACGUGAUGGCGUCACGCCACAGGGAUUUCGCCUCCUGCGGAUGGUAACCGCCUCGUCGCCCUCCCGCCCCAAUCUGGACUCCGACGGUGCCGGCAGGAAACGGGAGGUGGGAUGGCAGCCGAUGUUUCCAGACCCGCCUUGAGUCCCAUCACCACUCCCAAGCAGAGGCUGUUACCUGAGAGGAAAGCCGGCCGCUGCCCAGGGGCCAAACCUCCUCGCCCCAGGAUAUUCCACCUACUCCAGCCAGGCCCAAGGCCCAGGCCGGUCCUCACUUCCGCUUCCUCACUUCCUGCCCUGGUGCAGUUCCUCUCAGGGCCUCAAGCAAGGUGGUCGCAAAAACCGGAGCUAAAGGGUACCAAGGGGAAUGAAGGGAUUAAUGCUAGGAACAUUCUGGUGAGCCAACAUUUCCCUCCUCAUCUUGGAUCCAGUUCCCAAACUCUGAAUGGCACCACUUAGCAAGUAGCAAUGUCUCUAAUUUUCUGUAAAAGAUGCAACGUUGGCAAUCCAUUUUCUAGCAAGAGCAAAGAGAAAGGAAGAGGCCUUCACAAGUUGCAUUUGAUAUAGGGGGAAGGGUGAGUGGUACAUUUAAAGGUAAGAACUAAGGAAGUUGAAGGUAACAAAAUAUAAGGUCAAUGGAAAGUCUUAAAUCCCGAAAAGCCUUCAGUCCAAGACUCAACACAAAUUGAAGUCCCAGAAAUCGAAGGAACUGGUUCCAACUCAUGCUGAACUGUGGCAAACCUGGGGUGAGAAGUCAUCCCAGCUCAGAAUGUUUCUUCUUUUUUUGUCAAGAGUAAUAUUACAGACUGAGCGCAUGAACAAAGCAUCUUCCCUGGGAUUUUAACAUUGUGAGUGAUCAAGGGUGCUCUUAAAUAAGUUCCCCCAAGAAGCCCUAAUGUUCCUUGGGCUGCAUGACUGUACUAAGAGAAUAAGAGUUUUCCUUAAGAUCGACUUGCUGAUGGACCAUAUCUAGGACUAGAAAUUUUCUUAUGUGAACAUAAGUGUUCAGGAGGGAUAUUGUUAAAACUGAAACCUAGCAUAAAGAAGCAAAAGUAUUUCAGUGAACCUC